rnacentral:rRNA from 1 species
UACGUAGGGUGCAAGCGUUGUCCGGAAUUAUUGGGCGUAAAGAGCUCGUAGGCGGUCUGUCGCGUCGGCUGUGAAAACCCGCAGCUCAACUGUGGGCUUGCAGCUGAUACGGGCGGGCUGGAGUUCGGUAGGGGAGACUGGAAUUCCUGGUGUAGCGGUGAAAUGCGCAGAUAUCAGGAGGAACACCGGUGGCGAAGGCGGGUCUCUGGGCCGAUACUGACGCUGAGGAGCGAAAGCGUGGGGAGCAAACAGG